UCAGGCCUAACACAUGCAAGUCGAACGAGAUUAUAGGGUAAGCUUGCUUACCUUAUAUGACAGUGGCGCACGGGUGCGUAACGCGUAUGCAAUCUACCUUAAUCAGGGGGAUAGCCUCUCGAAAGAGAGAUUAAUACCGCAUAACAUUAUGAUAUGGCAUCAUAUUAUAAUCAAACAUUUAUGGGAUUAAGAUGAGCAUGCGUGACAUUAGCUAGUUGGUGAGGUAACGGCUCACCAAGGCAACGAUGUCUAGGGGAUCUGAGAGGAUGACCCGCCACACUGGUACUGAGACACGGACCAGACUCCUACGGGAGGCAGCAGUAAGGAAUAUUGGUCAAUGGACGCAAGUCUGAACCAGCCAUGCCGCGUGCAGGAAGACGGCCCUAUGGGUUGUAAACUGCUUUUAUACGGGAAUAAACCUUCUUUCGUGAAAGAAG
rnacentral:rRNA from 1 species